rnacentral:misc_RNA from 1 species
CAGAGAACAUGCCCUCCGGGGUAUAUCUCCCACCCGUUGUCUACAAUACCUUUGUUGCUUUGGCAGGCCUGUCUCACGACUACUGGCUUUAGCUGGUCCGUGCCUGCCAGAGGACCCCAACACUCUUUUAUUAUGUCGUCUGAGUACUAUAAAAUAGUUA